GUUGUAACACGGAGGUCAGAGUUCCUCCAGGUCACGUGUCAAAUGUGGUGAUAUUUUCAUUUAUUUUUCAUGGUAGUAAAAACAACAAAGACAAACAAACAAACAAACCGACGAGGUGAGCGGAGGAGGAGAACAACUUCAACUGUGUUUAUUUAUAUUCAGGUUCAGCUGCUGCUGUACAGUCAGUAAAGGCAGCAUUGGUGCCAUCUAGAGGCCUUUAUAUUAUAUUCCAACAUGAAAAAUAUAAAUACUCCGUGUAUAUGAUUUCUUCUCCGUUUAGUUGUGUUUACUUCCACCUCGUCUGCUGUUGCUACAACUUUCGGUUUGCUACGACACACGCGCCUGAGAAUGAAACGGGAGAAAAUUCUCAGGCUGUAGUUAAAAACACACACGCUGCCAUUUUGUUACAGUCCUAAAUGCCCUCAACACAGAAACAACAGCAUUUAAGUCCGUGUUACUGUGGCAACACUAAUUAAAUGUCAACGGCAGAGCAACAGUUUGGCCGGGGCUUCUGGGAAAGUCAAGGCACUUCAUCUUCUCUAAUUACAGUCAACAAAUUAAAAUAAAUGACAGUCGUAAUCCUGGUGUUCUUCGGAGGACUCUUCACUAAUCCACACCACAACAAAGACACGGACGUGUUUUGUAACAUUAUAUUUGCCAUAAACCUCUAAGGGGCGUGGCCGUACGUCCACUCGUCACGAACCACUUGGUACGUGAUGCGUGAAUCGAACGAAUUUCCGGUUUUACGCUGCAUGUCGGAUGUCUGUGUUUAGAAAUGUUCCUCUUCGGAACACUUCGGUGACGCAACACAGUCGUCGCUCGCGCGACUUGAGUCUCGAUCCUUCAGGACAUAUGCAGUAAACAUGGAGCUUAGCAGCUAAUGCUAACCUUGUGAUAAAUGUUCUACCUACAAAUGAACAUGUUUGUCAAAGAACAGUGUCUUCACCACAGCUGAGAACAACGUACGGCAGAAAUCAGACGAAUAUGAUCCGAAUACACAAACUUCACGUUCACCAGUGGAUGUUAGUUUUUUUGUUUAAAAAACAUUUAAAACAUUGUGCCUUUUGUUACAUUGACAAAUCAGUCUUUUCCGCCUUAAACUGGUUGUUGAAUUGAAUUUAUUAUGAUUCUUUUUUAAUUUCUUCUCAGUUCUUCACUGUAGCAAAAAUGUAGCGUAGCAUGAUGUCACUCCUAACAAAUGACCAGUAGUUCUCCGUAGAUGUACGGAGAAAUCCGAAGUAAUCAGUGGGUCGCCCCCUGCUGGUUAAUCGAUGAUUCGUUGGGAUGGAGUUUGAAUUCGUGGCUGUUUUCCAGGGACUUGAGAUUAAACAAUGGAGAAAUGAAACAGAGGUGGGCUGGACCACAAUCCUUUUCACUGUGGCUGAUUCAGAGGGACACCACCCAGAUAUUUAAAUCAACUGGUCGAGUUCCUAAUGGUAGCAGCACAAGAAGUGAACAUAUAUCACGUGAUAAUCAAACAUUUUUUGAUUAUCCAGGUUAAUGGCAGCUACAGGUUGUGACCCACAGACAAUAAUUCAAAGAUUUCCCUGUAUGAGAUUU